UGUGGGAGCGGGCUUGCUCGCGAUGGCGGUGGGUCAGUCAGCCUAGCCGAUACUGAUACACCGCCUUCGCGAGCAAGCCCGCUCCCACA
rnacentral:misc_RNA from 1 species